rnacentral:rRNA from 1 species
GAUGAACGCUGGCGGCGUGCUUAACACAUGCAAGUCGAACGGAACUACUCCAAUGAGAGUCUUCGGUAAGGAUUUGGUUUAGUUUAGUGGCGGACGGGUGAGUAACGCGUGGGUAACCUGCCCUAUACAGGGGGAUAACAGUUGGAAACGACUGUUAAUACCGCAUAAGCGCACAGGAGCGCAUGCUCCGGUGUGAAAAACUCCGGGGGUAUAGGAUGGACCCGCGUCUGAUUAGCUGGUGGGCGGGGUAACGGCCCACCAAGGCGACGAUCAGUAGCCGGCCUGGUAGGGGGAACGGCCACGUCGGAGCUGCGACACGGCCCAAACUCCUACGGAAGGGAGCAGUGGGGAAUAUUGCACGAUGGGGGAAACCCUGAUGCAGCGACGCCGCGUGAGCGAAGAAGUAUCUCGGUAUGUAAAGCUCUAUCAGAAGGGAAGAAAAUGACGGUACCUGACUAAGAAGCCCCGGCUAACUACGUG